rnacentral:rRNA from 1 species
CAGUAGCCACGGGAAUACGUAGGUGGCAAGCGUUGUCCGGAAUUAUUGGGCGUAAAGGGCUCGCAGGCGGUUUCUUAAGUCUGAUGUGAAAGCCCCCGGCUCAACCGGGGAGGGUCAUUGGAAACUGGGAAACUUGAGUGCAGAAGAGGAGAGUGGAAUUCCACGUGUAGCGGUGAAAUGCGUAGAGAUGUUGAGGAACACCAGUGGCGAAGGCGACUCUCUGGUCUGUAACUGACGCUGAGGAGCGAAAGCGUGGGGAGCGAACAGGAUUAGAUACCCCAGUAGUCCCUGUCUCUUAUAC